rnacentral:rRNA from 1 species
GAUGAACGCUGGCGGCGUGCUUAACACAUGCAAGUCGAACGAUGAAGCCCAGCUUGCUGGGUGGAUUAGUGGCGAACGGGUGAGUAACACGUGAGUAACCUGCCCUUAACCCUGGGAUAAGCCUGGGAAACUGGGUCUAAUACCGGAUAGGAGCGUCCACCGCAUGGUGGGUGUUGGAAAGAUUUAUCGGUUUUGGAUGGACUCGCGGCCUAUCAGCUUGUUGGUGAGGUAAUGGCUCACCAAGGCGACGACGGGUAGCCGGCCUGAGAGGGUGACCGGCCACACUGGGACUGAGACACGGCACAGACUCCUACGGGAGGCAGCAGUGGGGAAUAUUGCACAAUGGGCGCAAGCCUGAUGCAGCGACGCCGCGUGAUGGAUGACGGCCUUCGGGUUGUAAACCUCUUUCAGUAGGGAAGAAGCGAAAGUGACGGUACCUGCAGAAGAAGCACCGGCUAAAUACGUG